rnacentral:rRNA from 3 species
CAAAGGAGACUGCCAGUGAUAAACUGGAGGAAGGUGGGGAUGACGUCAAGUCAUCAUGGCCCUUACGACCAGGGCUACACACGUGCUACAAUGGCGCAUACAAAGAGAAGCGACCUCGCGAGAGCAAGCGGACCUCAUAAAGUGCGUCGUAGUCCGGAUUGGAGUCUGCAACUCGACUCCAUGAAGUCGGAAUCGCUAGUAAUCGUGGAUCAGAAUGCCACGGUGAAUACGUUCCCGGGCCUUGUACACACCGCCCGUCACACCAUGGGAGUGGGUUGCAAAAGAAGUAGGUAGCUUAACCUUCGGGAGGGCGCUUACCACUUUGUGAUUCAUGACUGGGGUGAAGUCGUAACAAGGUAACCGUAGGGGAACCUGCGGUUGGAUCACCUCCUUACCUUAAAGAA